GGUUAAGCGACUAAGCGUACACGGUGGAUGCCCUGGCAGUCAGAGGCGAUGAAGGACGUGCUAAUCUGCGAUAAGCGUCGGUAAGGUGAUAUGAACCGUUAUAACCGGCGAUUUCCGAAUGGGGAAACCCAGUGUGUUUCGACACACUAUCAUUAACUGAAUCCAUAGGUUAAUGAGGCGAACCGGGGGAACUGAAACAUCUAAGUACCCCGAGGAAAAGAAAUCAACCGAGAUUCCCCCAGUAGCGGCGAGCGAACGGGGAGCAGCCCAGAGCCUGAAUCAGUGUGUGUGUUAGUGGAAGCGUCUGGAAAGGCGCGCGAUACAGGGUGACAGCCCCGUACACAAAAAUGCACAUACUGUGAGCUCGAUGAGUAGGGCGGGACACGUGGUAUCCUGUCUGAAUAUGGGGGGACCAUCCUCCAAGGCUAAAUACUCCUGACUGACCGAUAGUGAACCAGUACCGUGAGGGAAAGGCGAAAAGAACCCCGGCGAGGGGAGUGAAAAAGAACCUGAAACCGUGUACGUACAAGCAGUGGGAGCCUCUUUUAUGGGGUGACUGCGUACCUUUUGUAUAAUGGGUCAGCGACUUAUAUUCUGUAGCAAGGUUAACCGAAUAGGGGAGCCGAAGGGAAACCGAGUCUUAACCGGGCGUUAAGUUGCAGGGUAUAGACCCGAAACCCGGUGAUCUAGCCAUGGGCAGGUUGAAGGUUGGGUAACACUAACUGGAGGACCGAACCGACUAAUGUUGAAAAAUUAGCGGAUGACUUGUGGCUGGGGGUGAAAGGCCAAUCAAACCGGGAGAUAGCUGGUUCUCCCCGAAAGCUAUUUAGGUAGCGCCUCGUGAAUUCAUCUCCGGGGGUAGAGCACUGUUUCGGCAAGGGGGUCAUCCCGACUUACCAACCCGAUGCAAACUGCGAAUACCGGAGAAUGUUAUCACGGGAGACACACGGCGGGUGCUAACGUCCGUCGUGAAGAGGGAAACAACCCAGACCGCCAGCUAAGGUCCCAAAGUCAUGGUUAAGUGGGAAACGAUGUGGGAAGGCCCAGACAGCCAGGAUGUUGGCUUAGAAGCAGCCAUCAUUUAAAGAAAGCGUAAUAGCUCACUGGUCGAGUCGGCCUGCGCGGAAGAUGUAACGGGGCUAAACCAUGCACCGAAGCUGCGGCAGCGACACUGUGUGUUGUUGGGUAGGGGAGCGUUCUGUAAGCCUGUGAAGGUGUACUGUAAGGUAUGCUGGAGGUAUCAGAAGUGCGAAUGCUGACAUAAGUAACGAUAAAGCGGGUGAAAAGCCCGCUCGCCGGAAGACCAAGGGUUCCUGUCCAACGUUAAUCGGGGCAGGGUGAGUCGACCCCUAAGGCGAGGCCGAAAGGCGUAGUCGAUGGGAAACAGGUUAAUAUUCCUGUACUUGGUGUUACUGCGAAGGGGGGACGGAGAAGGCUAUGUUGGCCGGGCGACGGUUGUCCCGGUUUAAGCGUGUAGGCUGGUUUUCCAGGCAAAUCCGGAAAAUCAAGGCUGAGGCGUGAUGACGAGGCACUACGGUGCUGAAGCAACAAAUGCCCUGCUUCCAGGAAAAGCCUCUAAGCAUCAGGUAACAUCAAAUCGUACCCCAAACCGACACAGGUGGUCAGGUAGAGAAUACCAAGGCGUUUGAGAGAACUCGGGUGAAGGAACUAGGCAAAAUGGUGCCGUAACUUCGGGAGAAGGCACGCUGAUAUGUAGGUGAAGUCCCUCGCGGAUGGAGCUGAAAUCAGUCGAAGAUACCAGCUGGCUGCAACUGUUUAUUAAAAACACAGCACUGUGCAAACACGAAAGUGGACGUAUACGGUGUGACGCCUGCCCGGUGCCGGAAGGUUAAUUGAUGGGGUCAGCGCAAGCGAAGCUCUUGAUCGAAGCCCCGGUAAACGGCGGCCGUAACUAUAACGGUCCUAAGGUAGCGAAAUUCCUUGUCGGGUAAGUUCCGACCUGCACGAAUGGCGUAAUGAUGGCCAGGCUGUCUCCACCCGAGACUCAGUGAAAUUGAACUCGCUGUGAAGAUGCAGUGUACCCGCGGCAAGACGGAAAGACCCCGUGAACCUUUACUAUAGCUUGACACUGAACAUUGAGCCUUGAUGUGUAGGAUAGGUGGGAGGCUUUGAAGUGUGGACGCCAGUCUGCAUGGAGCCGACCUUGAAAUACCACCCUUUAAUGUUUGAUGUUCUAACGUGGACCCGUGAUCCGGGUUGCGGACAGUGUCUGGUGGGUAGUUUGACUGGGGCGGUCUCCUCCUAAAGAGUAACGGAGGAGCACGAAGGUUGGCUAAUCCUGGUCGGACAUCAGGAGGUUAGUGCAAUGGCAUAAGCCAGCUUGACUGCGAGCGUGACGGCGCGAGCAGGUGCGAAAGCAGGUCAUAGUGAUCCGGUGGUUCUGAAUGGAAGGGCCAUCGCUCAACGGAUAAAAGGUACUCCGGGGAUAACAGGCUGAUACCGCCCAAGAGUUCAUAUCGACGGCGGUGUUUGGCACCUCGAUGUCGGCUCAUCACAUCCUGGGGCUGAAGUAGGUCCCAAGGGUAUGGCUGUUCGCCAUUUAAAGUGGUACGCGAGCUGGGUUUAGAACGUCGUGAGACAGUUCGGUCCCUAUCUGCCGUGGGCGCUGGAGAACUGAGGGGGGCUGCUCCUAGUACGAGAGGACCGGAGUGGACGCAUCACUGGUGUUCGGGUUGUCAUGCCAAUGGCACUGCCCGGUAGCUAAAUGCGGAAGAGAUAAGUGCUGAAAGCAUCUAAGCACGAAACUUGCCCCGAGAUGAGUUCUCCCUGACCCUUUAAGGGUCCUGAAGGAACGUUGAAGACGACGACGUUGAUAGGCCGGGUGUGUAAGCGCAGCGAUGCGUUGAGCUAACCGGUACUAAUGAACCGUGAGGCUUAACCUUACAACGCCGAAGGUGUUUUG
rnacentral:rRNA from 1 species